rnacentral:rRNA from 1 species
AUGGAAGAUGAGAGGAAGAGAGCCAAGCUGCGAAAAUCCCUACAGCUCUGCAUCACUAGGAAGCUCAAGAAGAUCCCUCCGGUUCACAUCCCCAGCUCGACAAUUCCGGCAACCAUCGCCAGCAGGAGGCGGCUCCUCUCCACCUGCGGGUUCCCGCGGACACAGUCGCUGGACAUCGACCAGGCCGCCACCGCUACCAACAACAACAACAACAACGGCGGAGGCCACGCCGCGACGCUCUCCGACGUCAACCGCUUCCUCUUCGACAACUUCCGGUCUCUCUACAUACAUGACCGGGACGACAACGUGCGCCUCCCGUUAUCGCCGGGGACGUCAUCCACGUCUGCCGUCGACGAGACGCAGGCAACCGCAGGAACAUCAUCCUUGUCGGAUUCAGUCACGGAAGACACCGGAAAAGCCGGGUCAGGUGAUGACACCGGCGACGAUGCGGCCAUAGUCCUAUUCUCCAUGGACCCUUACACCGACUUCCGGAGGUCCAUGCAGAACAUGAUAAAGAUGCACCACGGCCAGGAAUCUCGGCCGCUGGACUGGGACUUCUUGGAGGAGCUACUCUUUUACUACCUCCAGCUCAAUGAUCAAAGUGUGCACAGGCACAUUCUCAAGGCCUUCGCCGACCUCACUGCUGGAACCCACAAGGAUAUACCAGCCCGUGGAAAACCGAACUGGGCUGAUAAGAGUGUUAGGAGUAGGAAAUAUUAG